GGGCAUGUGGCCUAGUCAGGAUAGGGCGUUAGCCUCCUAAGCUAAUGGUCGGGGGUUCAAAUCCCUCCAUGCCCG
rfam:Methanomicrobiales archaeon 53_19 MPJ_scaffold_13, whole genome shotgun sequence.